GUGGCCAUAUGAGCCCAGCCCAUCCUCUCCCAGGCCUCUGGGCCACUCCCCUAGCUGGAGUCCCCAUCUCUGAUUCAGGCUGAGUACAUGGCUCCAUUCUGAGCAGUCACAAGAGGCCAGCUGGAGGGGCAGGUUGCUUGGCAGCAGCUGCAAAGGGAGCAGGUAGGGCCCACUGGCCGCUGCAGGCUUUUGCAAAGAAGGGAUUGAUCCUGUCUCAGGGGCCGCUUGGUUUUUCUGUCCAGGCAGCAGGGAGCAAACAAACACCCCAGCAGUUCUCCUGCUCUGACGUCAAUUAAAGGCUCCGACAGGUCCGCGACGUCAGCCAAGAUGUAUUGCAAACAGAUGGAAAGCCCUUGAAAAGUCUAUUCCUCGCGGAAGGGAAGUAAUAUACAGUGUCUCCUUCAGGCUGACGCUCAGGCCGCCUGGUGCAGGGGGCUGUUUACUCGCCAUGGAGAGGCCUCAGGGCUCCCACUGCCUUUUCUGUCUGAGGAUUUCUAUGCUGUAGCCAGCGCUGCACAAAAUCAGGUCUGCGGCUGAAAAAAUCUGCUCCAGCAGAAGAGCAGAGCACGUGUGAAGAUAUUUUGAACAGCUGCACAAGCCACUGUGAUUGGAGUCACGUUGGUGUCCCAAGUAGAAAUUCCGGUCUCAUUGACCCCUGGAGACUCUAUGGAUGACUGGAGAACUAGCAUGUUGAUGACAUCACAGAUCCCAAUGAAGUGAAACCACAUUCGCUGAGAGGGGAAAUUGGUUUUAUUCAGCCUCUUUAACCCUGGCUCCGGUUUGGUUUUUGUGUCGCCCGUUUAACUCAAACACCCAGCAAAAAGAUAGAAGAGAUGACAGUGUUGUUAAAGAUUCAUAUUCCCCUGACCCUUCCAUUAAAGACUGAGAAAAUGGCCAACGUACAUCUGAGACCCCGCCCCUCAGAAGGAUAAAGGCACAGUGCAGAGGAAUAGCAUCACCAUUUCAAGCUGUAUACACAGGAAAGGGCUGACAAUUGUUCCCUCGUGGUGGUGGAAAUGCUGCUCCCCCAGGAGAGCCAAAGGAGCUGUGAAGUGUAUCCCAGGUGCCCUGUUUGCAUCCUCUGUCCCCAGCAUAGAAGUGUUGACCUGCAGGCUGCCAGGAGCUGAAGUGGGUUGAUGGCUUUGCCGCUGAUUUAACUUCCCAGCUAGUGGACUUACUCUCCCUGGGGCUCAAACUCACUGCCCCAAACUGAAUUGAGCCCUAAGCCUUUAUACAACCUACCACUCAGUUGCUGAUAAAUAAAAAAGACUCUGGGCUUUCUGUUGUCAUUUACAACAGUGAAAAGUGAGUGUAUAACGCCACCAAAUCUUGGAUGAGAUUUUCAGAGCCCCCAAAGGACACCUAUUUCCCAUUCAUGCAGAUGAAUGGGAACCGGCUGUUCAAAUCUCUUCGGUGCCUUUGAGGAUGUCAGCCCUACGCUCUCUCAGAAGGCAAAUGAAAAGAACCCAUUAUUAUUAUUUUUUUACUCCCCUCAUUUUAAAGACAAUCUCGAGAUUUUGACCCCUUGAGGUUGGAAAUGCUGCAGUACAGCACUCGUGAAAGGAUUUCCUGCCACGUGACCACCCACCAACUGAGAACUGGGAGUGUUCAUGCGAUCUGUCAAUGUUCAGUGCUAUCAGAUGAUUAUUUUUUUUGGACUCCCCAGUUUCAGAUAAAUUGUGUUUCCUUAUUAGGCUGUCAGUGCAUUGUUUGAACCUGGAACCUUGGUUACUUUCAGUGCCAGGGUGGCAUUAGCAUCCUGGUGUAGUUCAGUGGCUGAGAGGUGGAGUUAGAACCUUAAUGUAAUUCGUGGGGAGUGUGUGUUAGAACCUGGGUUUUUUUCAGUGGCAGGGGGGCAGUGUUACCCCCAGGUUGAUAAAGAUUUUUCAUGGAAUUUGGGAGUGCAAAAGACCAUUGUACUGCCAAGAUAGUUCAGAAGCAUUUUGUUAGCUCAGAGGCAGAAUUUCCAGACAGAAUGUUUGUUGUUUAUGUUAGAGAUGGACAAAGCUCUGUGGGAGGAGUGGGAUUGGAUCUGGUUUCUGUAUUUAGAUGAAACCAUAGCCCCCUCUCAUGCCAAAACCUUAGAAAAGUGGGAGCAUUCAGAGAGAUGGUUCAGGUGUUGCUCCAGCUGGUUUAUUUAUAUAUGGCUCUAUCCCCAUCUGUGCUGAAUUACCAAUCCUUUGAGUUGAUUUAUGUGUGUCCUUAUUGCCUCAUUCUCAAUCAGGCUCAUUCUUGCUUUCCUUUAUUUUUCCAAUCUUUCCUUCUGGACUGCUGUGUUAAUCACCUGAGAUGAGAGAAGCUGUCUGUUGUCAUGACGACUCCUUCUCUGCUCUGGGCUUCGAGUCACAUCUAACUUACCUUGGGGUAAAUGCCUGUGACUGGAGGAGAUGAAGGAGGAAUUGAAAGCCGUGGCGUCCUCUUCCCAAGCAGGCUGUUGCUCUUGCAGUGAUUUUAGUGUGGUAUCAGCCCAGUGGUUGCUGCAGGGCACUGUGGGGGAAGUGCUGCACCGGCAGAGGUGAGGUCCUUCCAAUCGGAUGUUGGACUGAGAUUGCUGCAGUCUGGGAGAUGUUCAGGGGCAAGUCACAGCUCUGACUGCACCAUUCACA